GAUGAACGCUGGCGGCGUGCCUAAUACAUGCAAGUCGAACGCACAGCGAAAGGUGCUUGCACCUUUCAAGUGAGUGGCGAACGGGUGAGUAACACGUGGACAACCUGCCUCAAGGCUGGGGAUAACAUUUGGAAACAGAUGCUAAUACCGAAUAAAACUUAGUGUCGCAUGACACAAAGUUAAAAGGCGCUUCGGCGUCACCUAGAGAUGGAUCCGCGGUGCAUUAGUUAGUUGGUGGGGUAAAAGCCUACCAAGACAAUGAUGCAUAGCCGAGUUGAGAGACUGAUCGGCCACAUUGGGACUGAGACACGGCCCAAACUCCUACGGGAGGCUGCAGUAGGGAAUCUUCCACAAUGGGCGAAAGCCUGAUGGAGCAACGCCGCGUGUGUGAUGAAGGCUUUCGGGUCGUAAAGCACUGUUGUAUGGGAAGAACACGUAUAAGAGUAAAUGAUUAUGCGUUGACGGUAUCUAAUCAGCAAGUCACGGCUAACUACGUGCCAGCCGCCGCAGUAACAC
rnacentral:rRNA from 1 species